GACGAACGCUGGCGGCGUGCUUAACACAUGCAAGUCGAACGGAAAGGCCCUGCUUUUGUGGGGUGCUCGAGUGGCGAACGGGUGAGUAACACGCGAGUAACCUGCCCUUGACUUUGGGAUAACUUCAGGAAACUGGGGCUAAUACCGGAUAGGAGCUCCUGCUGCAUGGUGGGGGUUGGAAAGUUUCGGCGGUUGGGGAUGGACUCGCGGCUUAUCAGCUUGUUGGUGGGGUAGUGGCUUACCAAGGCUUUGACGGGUAGCCGGCCUGAGAGGGUGACCGGCCACAUUGGGACUGAGAUACGGCCCAGACUCCUACGGGAGGCAGCAGUGGGGAAUAUUGCACAAUGGGCGGAAGCCUGAUGCAGCAACGCCGCGUGCGGGAUGACGGCCUUCGGGUUGUAAACCGCUUUCGCCUGUGACGAAGCGUGAGUGACGGGAAUGGGGAAAGAAGCACCGGCUAACUACGU
rnacentral:rRNA from 1 species